ACUUCAACGAUCAUUAAAUCAACACAUCCGCCUGACCGCCUCAAUUUCAGAUUCUCAGUCUCGCCCCAAACCCUAAUUAAAUUUGCAAACUAAUAUUUUUUGUCGAUUUUUUUUUCCGUAUAAUAUCUAUAAAGAUACACAUCUAUCUAUACAUAUAUUAUGAUUCGGGAAACAUCUUCAGUUCAAGAUCCAGAUAUCAAUCGUGAUACAGCCGACAAUCAUCAGGUUCUUGUAGUGAAGAUUGCUUUAGCUAUUGACUCCUCCAACUAUAUAUGGUUUUGGCGUUUUUAAUAAUGAGGUUACAUAUGUUUUUGAGUUGUUCGAUUGCUUUUGUACUCUGCACUACUAGAACACUAAUCGUUUCAGCUUGUCUUGUACUUUGAGGCCUGUACUGGACUGUUGAGCGUGUGUUUGUAGGUUCUUUUAGUGAAGAUUGCUUUAGCUAUUGACUCCUCUGACUAUAUAUGGUUUUUGCGUUUUUGAUAAUUAUGUUUUUGACUUGUUCAAUUGCUUUUGUAUUCCCAUGCUAGAGCAUCUAAACAUUUGCUUCAACUUCUCUUGUACUUUGAGGCUUGUACUCGAGUGUUGAUUGUUUGUAUGUAAGUUGUUCUUGUAGCGGGGAUCACUUUUGCAUUUGGCUUCUCCUACCUUGUGUGAUUUUGACUUUUUUUUUAUUAUUCAGGUUGCAUAUGUUACUAAAGUUUUCAAUUCCUACCUUGUGUGAUUUCGAAAUGCACUGAUUGAUAUCAUAUGAGUUUAGCUAAAAAACUAGACCGAAUCAAAGUCAAAAAAUUUAAUAAAGGAUGUGCUUGUUUUGCUAUAUAAAUAGAACGAUUGGUUUUAAAAAGAUAUAAUAGAAAUGGACUAUUUGAUAUUAUGUAACACACCUCCAUUUUUUUUUUUGUCUUGUUAGUAAGUUAGUAACUGGCUACUGUUUCUUUUUAAAUGCGAGGUCCCUGUAAGAGUGAUGCACAGGAAACUAUGGACAGAUUUGCAGUUAUUGGAUACGAAGCCUCUUUGUUAGUCGUUUCAUAUGGGGGAUAGAGUCUGUCAGCAGUCUCCUCGUAGUUCGUAAUGAUCAUCUAGAAAAUUGAGGAUGGGUAUCAUGGUUUAACCUGAAAAGUAUUUUCCAUGCACAUAAUCUGGGAAUCUAGGGAGAUUGGAUCUGUAGAAGAUUGACCAGGAUCAGGCUAAGUUGGCACGUGCAAGCUUAUCUAUUAUCAGAAAAGAAGAUCAAUUUGUGUUUACCUUCUGGCAUGUUGUGGCCAUUAAAGAUGCAACUCAAGGCAAAUCUGGAAAAGUUAAUGGAUCUGUUUGUUCUGGAUGCAUUGAUUUGAAUUGAUCACAAGAAUUUUUUCUUAAGCCAACUUCGAAGUAGUGCUUUUCUUAGGUCUUCUCUCAUGAGUUUCAACAACAAUUUCAUAUCAGCAUGCACUCAAUUAAUUCAUUGCAGCAGCUGUGUGCUCUUAAGGCAAAACUUGCUUUACUAUUGAGAAUUAUCCACAAGUAUGCUAAAUUAGGGGCUCUGAUUUUUUUCUCCAGGGUGCAUUUGAACAUAUAACAGUCGAGUCAAGGGAACCCUAGGCCCUUUGACACCUAUUUUUGGCUAUUCAACAGAACCUUGUUGUUGGUAUGCUUAAACCGGAAGCAGGGACCGACUUAUUAUUCUGGUGCUUCUGCUUUCAGUGAACUUGCUGAACAUUUUUCUCAUCCAUUUCCAGAACAGUUCACUGAUUCUAGUCAAGCUGUUAAGACACUUGUAUAUGGGUCAACCGGAGAAGUUGGCGAAGCCCUAAGACAGACAAACCUUGCUUAUCUUCUAAACAGAGUAGCCCCAAGUGUCAAGACGGUUUUAAAGGCUUUUCCUCAAGUCAUAUAGUUGGAGAGACAUUGAAAUCUCAGCAUUAAGCAACACUAUUUAAUUGCUCAAAGUUUUCAGACUUUUGGGAGUACAACAUUUGUAUGGAGACCGAAAUGGAAUGUUUCAGCGCUUCAAUAAAGGAACUUGGAUAACGACUCUGCCUUAACAUUCAAUCAUGGAUGUGUCAAUAUCAGGCAAAGGACAAGCUUCGACAUCACAGUGGAGGUGGAAGAAGACUUUCAGGGUUUUGUGGAUCUUGUGCAACUAAAAGCAUUACAUUACUAAGUAUAAAACCAUAAAUGGUAGUUACAUAGAUUUUAACUUUCAUAUCUCCUGGCAGUGAAAAAGUUGUGAAGAAAUUCCAGCUGAUAUGUAAGCAAUGGUUGCUGAAAAGCGUUGUUAGUUAAUUGAAGCAGUCUCUGCUGAUGAACCUGUGGAAGCAUUUGUCAGUGACUAACUUAUAUCGUCUGCUGACGUUGAGGUUUAUUUGAAACCCAUGGAUAAAUGACCUCUUCUAAACCAGUUAGUUUACUGGCGCUCGGAAUGGGCAGUUGCAUACUUGCAUUGUCUAGGAACUAGAAGUAACAAAAUUUAGUCAGCUAUGUCAUGCAAUUUACACCCCCACAGGCCAGCAGAAGCUAUGUGAAGUUUGGUGGAAAUUUUGUUGAUGGGCCAAAUCGAAUUACUUACAUUAUUUGCUUUUAAAGUUUUAAUGGGUUAGUUUGGUUAAUUUUAUGAACCAUUAGUAAAGUUUUAAUGUACGGCCCACAGGCCACCUCUCAGUACUAUUUGGUUUAUUUCCACUUUUGAGAUACGAGGGAAAGUGCCCGCAUAUUGCGGUGGUGAGAUGGUAGGGGUGAUAAGUCAUAGAGGGUAAUAAGUCAUAGAGUGUGAUAGCCAAAUGUUUUUUAUUCGUACGGGCUCUGUCCUCGCAUUUAAAAAUUCGUUGAAAUUA